rnacentral:rRNA from 1 species
GACGAACGCUGGCGGCGUGCUUAACACAUGCAAGUCGAACGGAAAGGCCCUGUUUUUGUGGGGUGCUCGAGAGGCGAACGGGUGAGUAACACGAGAGGAACCUGCCCUUGACUUUGGGAUAACUUCAGGAAACUGGGGCUAAUACCAGAUAGGAGCUCCUGCUGCAUGGUCAUGGUUGGAGAGUUGCGGCUGUUGGAGAUGUGGUCGCGGGUCAGCAGCUUGUUGGUGGGGUAGUGGCUUACCUAGGCUUUGGCGGGUAGCCGGCCUUAGGGGGUGACCGGCGCCAUUGGGACUGCGAUAGGCGCCAGAAGGCGAGGGGAGGCAACAGUGGGGAAUAUUGCGCAGCAGCGGGGCGGCGGAUGAGAUGGCGCCGCGUGCGGGAUGACGGCCUUCGGGUUGUGAACCGGUUUCGCCUGUGAUGUAGAGUGAUUGACGGUAAUUGGUUAAGAAGCACCGGCUAACUACGUG